NGCUUUUUGAAUCCAUGCAGAGAUUUGGUCCGACACCAACACAUUGGGGCUGAUCUGACUUCCAAGAUAAGUGAAGUU
rnacentral:pre_miRNA from 1 species